GGUUCCUGUCCAACGUUAAUCGGGGCAGGGUGAGUCGACCCCUAAGGCGAGGCCGAAAGGCGUAGUCGAUGGGAAACAGGUUAAUAUUCCUGUGCUUGGUGUUACUGCGAAGGGGGGACGGAGAAGGCUAUGUUGGCCGGGCGACGGUUGUCCCGGUUUAAGCGUGUAGGCUGGUUUUCCAGGCAAAUCCGGAAAAUCAAGGCUGAGGCGUGAUGACGAGGCACUACGGUGCUGAAGCAACAAAUGCCCUGCUUCCAGGAAAAGCCUCUAAGCAUCAGGUAACAUCAAAUCGUACCCCAAACCGACACAGGUGGUCAGGUAGAGAAUACCAAGGCGCUUGAGAGAACUCGGGUGAAGGAACUAGGCAAAAUGGUGCCGUAACUUCGGGAGAAGGCACGCUGAUAUGUAGGUGAAGUCCCUCGCGGAUGGAGCUGAAAUCAGUCGAAGAUACCAGCUGGCUGCAACUGUUUAUUAAAAACACAGCACUGUGCAAACACGAAAGUGGACGUAUACGGUGUGACGCCUGCCCGGUGCCGGAAGGUUAAUUGAUGGGGUCAGCGCAAGCGAAGCUCUUGAUCGAAGCCCCGGUAAACGGCGGCCGUAACUAUAACGGUCCUAAGGUAGCGAAAUUCCUUGUCGGGUAAGUUCCGACCUGCACGAAUGGCGUAAUGAUGGCCAGGCUGUCUCCACCCGAGACUCAGUGAAAUUGAACUCGCUGUGAAGAUGCAGUGUACCCGCGGCAAGACGGAAAGACCCCGUGAACCUUUACUAUAGCUUGACACUGAACAUUGAGCCUUGAUGUGUAGGAUAGGUGGGAGGCUUUGAAGUGUGGACGCCAGUCUGCAUGGAGCCGACCUUGAAAUACCACCCUUUAAUGUUUGAUGUUCUAACGUGGACCCGUAAUCCGGGUUGCGGACAGUGUCUGGUGGGUAGUUUGACUGGGGCGGUCUCCUCCUAAAGAGUAACGGAGGAGCACGAAGGUUGGCUAAUCCUGGUCGGACAUCAGGAGGUUAGUGCAAUGGCAUAAGCCAGCUUGACUGCGAGCGUGACGGCGCGAGCAGGUGCGAAAGCAGGUCAUAGUGAUCCGGUGGUUCUGAAUGGAAGGGCCAUCGCUCAACGGAUAAAAGGUACUCCGGGGAUAACAGGCUGAUACCGCCCAAGAGUUCAUAUCGACGGCGGUGUUUGGCACCUCGAUGUCGGCUCAUCACAUCCUGGGGCUGAAGUAGGUCCCAAGGGUAUGGCUGUUCGCCAUUUAAAGUGGUACGCGAGCUGGGUUUAGAACGUCGUGAGACAGUUCGGUCCCUAUCUGCCGUGGGCGCUGGAGAACUGAGGGGGGCUGCUCCUAGUACGAGAGGACCGGAGUGGACGCAUCACUGGUGUUCGGGUUGUCAUGCCAAUGGCACUGCCCGGUAGCUAAAUGCGGAAGAGAUAAGUGCUGAAAGCAUCUAAGCACGAAACUUGCCCCGAGAUGAGUUCUCCCUGACUCCUUGAGAGUCCUGAAGGAACGUU
rnacentral:rRNA from 1 species